AUACGUAGGGGGCAAGCGUUGUCCGGAAUUAUUGGGCGUAAAGGGUGCGUAGGCGGCCGAUCAAGUCAGGUGUGAAAGACCCGUGCUUAACAUGGGGGUUGCACUUGAAACUGGUUGGCUUGAGUAUGGGAGAGGCAAGCGGAAUUCCCGGUGUAGCGGUGAAAUGCGUAGAGAUCGGGAGGAACACCAGUGGCGAAGGCGGCUGGCUGCACAAAAACGGACGCUGAGGCACGAAAGCGUGGGUAGCAACCAGGAUUAGAUGCCCUGGUAGUCCACGCCGUAAACGAUGGAUACUAGGUGUAGGGGGUUUAACACCUUCUGUGCCGGAGCAAACGCAAUAAGUAUCCCGCCUGGGGAGUACGAUCGCAAGAUUGAAACUCAAAGGAAUUGACGGGG
rnacentral:rRNA from 1 species